GACGAACGCUGGCGGCGUGCCUAAUACAUGCAAGUAGAACGCAGUCGCGAACGGGUGAGUAACGCGUCGGUAACUGCCUCAUAGCGGGGGAUAACUAUUGGCAACGAUAGCUAAUACCGCAUACUGCGAGAUGGACCUGCGUUGUAUUAGCUAGUUGGUGCGGUAAAGGAUCACCAAGGCGACGAUACAUAGCCGAACGGAGAGGGUGGUCGGCCGCACUGGGAGUGAGACACGGCCCAGACGCCUACGGGAGGCAGCAGUAGGGAAUCGUGGGCAAUGGACGGAAGUCUGACCGAGCAAGGCCGCGUGAGGGAAGAAGGUUUUCGGGUCGUAAAGCUCUGUUGUUGGAGAAGCGGUAGCUAACCAGAAAGGGACGGCUAACUACGUGCCAGCAGCCGCGGUAAUUC
rnacentral:rRNA from 1 species